rnacentral:snoRNA from 1 species
CAGUGUGAUGAUAAACAGGAGAACCGGCACCAGACUGACCAGAAAAAGAUGAUGAAAAUGAUCGUCCAGUGCUGUCGGGAA